GCUUGGGAUAUCUGCCAGGAAAAGAAACUGUGUGUUGCUUGAAUUCUCACUAUGAAAGAAUUCUCUACCCAUGUGAGCUGUUCCAGUGUGGUGUCAGUCUUCUGGGUGUGCCGAUGCCUAAUUUAGAUCUUAAGGAAAAUGUGGAACCUGACGUUUUUCUCACUGAUACCCAAACUUCUCCCCAAACUGGCGCCAGGAUGAAUCAUUGGCCGAAGAGAACAAGACACCUAAAAUCUCAGUGGGCAGCUUAUAUUGUGGAAAGAAACCUCGAAGACCUAAAGAAAGAAAACACUUCUGAUGGGCAAAAG